rnacentral:rRNA from 1 species
AGAGAUUUGAAAGGCCGCGGUAUAUUAACUGUGCAAAGGCAUAAUCAUCUUUUUAAUUGAAGGCUUGUAUGAAGGGUUGGACAAAGAAAAGACUGUCUCUCUUUUAUUUGAAGUCUUUUAAAUGAAAAGGCUAUAUAUUUAGGGGACGAUAAGACCCUAAUCUUUAUAUUAUAUUAUUUUUUUAAUUAUUUUGUCAAUAUUAAAAAUGAGAAAUAUUUUGUUGGGGUGGCGAGAAUAUUUCUGCUCUUAAUUGAAACAAAGGUGUUUGUUAGGGUUAAUAGAUCCUUUAUAGAGAUUCAGAGUUUAAGUUACUUUAGGGAUAACAGCGUUAUUUUUUUUGAGAGUCCAUACCGAAGAGAAAGUUGGCGACCUCGAUGUUGAAUUAAGAUUUCUCCUGUGGGGCAGAAGUUACAGGAGGAAAGUCUG